GCCAUGCCGCGUGUGUGAAGAAGGCCUUUUGGUUGUAAAGCACUUUAAGCAGUGAAGAAGACUCUAUGGUUAAUACCCAUAGACGAUGACAUUAGCUGCAGAAUAAGCACCGGCUAACUCUGUGCCAGCAGCCGCGGUAAUACAGAGGGUGCAAGCGUUAAUCGGAAUUACUGGGCGUAAAGCGAGCGUAGGUGGCUUAAUAAGUCAGAUGUGAAAUCCCCGGGCUUAACCUGGGAACUGCAUCUGAUACUGUUAGGCUAGAGUAGGUGAGAGGGAGGUAGAAUUUCAGGUGUAGCGGUGAAAUGCGUAGAGAUCUGAAGGAAUACCGAUGGCGAAGGCAGCCUCCUGGCAUCAUACUGACACUGAGGUUCGAAAGCGUGGGUAGCAAACAGGAUUAGAUACCCUGGUAGUCCACGCCGUAAACGAUGUCUACUAGUCGUUGGGGAACUUGAUUCCUUAGUGACGCAGCUAACGCAAUAAGUAGACCGCCUGGGGAGUACGGCCGCAAGGUUAAAACUCAAAUGAAUUGACGGGGGCCCGCACAAGCGGUGGAGCAUGUGGUUUAAUUCGAUGCAACGCGAAGAACCUUACCUGGUCUUGACAUAUCUAGAAUCCUGCAGAGAUGCGGGAGUGCCUUCGGGAAUUAGAAUACAGGUGCUGCAUGGCUGUCGUCAGCUCGUGUCGUGAGAUGUUGGGUUAAGUCCCGCAACGAGCGCAACCCUUUUCCUUAGUUACCAGCGGUUCGGCCGGGGACUCUAAGGAUACUGCCAGUGACAAACUGGAGGAAGGCGGGGACGACGUCAAGUCAUCAUGGCCCUUACGACCAGGGCUACACACGUG
rnacentral:rRNA from 1 species